GAUGAACGCUGGCGGCGUGCCUAAUACAUGCAAGUCGAGCGAACAGACGAGGAGCUUGCUCCUCUGACGUUAGCGGCGGACGGGUGAGUAACACGUGGAUAACCUACCUAUAAGACUGGGAUAACUUCGGGAAACCGGAGCUAAUACCGGAUAAUAUAUUGAACCGCAUGGUUCAAUAGUGAAAGACGGUUUUGCUGUCACUUAUAGAUGGAUCCGCGCCGCAUUAGCUAGUUGGUAAGGUAACGGCUUACCAAGGCAACGAUGCGUAGACGACGUGAGAGGGGGAUCGGCCACACUGGAACUGAGACACGGUCCAGACUCCUACGGGAGGCAGCAGUAGGGAAUCGGCCGCAAUGGGCGAAAGCCUGACGGAGCAACGCCGCGUGAGUGAUGAAGGUCUUCGGAUCGUAAAACUCUGUUAUUAGGGAAGAACAAAUGUGUAAGUAACUAUGCACGUCUUGACGGUACCUAAUCAGAAAGCCACGGCUAACUACGUG
rnacentral:rRNA from 1 species